GAUGAACGCUGGCGGCGUGCUUAACACAUGCAAGUCGAACGAUGAAGCCCAGCUUGCUGGGUGGAUUAGUGGCGAACGGGUGAGUAACACGUGAGCAACCUGCCCCUGACUCCGGGAUAAGCGCUGGAAACGGCGUCUAAUACUGGAUAUGUCCCAUCACCGCAUGGUGUGUGGGUGGAAAGAUUUUUCGGUGGGGAUGGGCUCGCGGCCUAUCAGCUUGUUGGUGGGGUGAUGGCCUACCAAGGCGUCGACGGGUAGCCGGCCUGAGAGGGUGACCGGCCACAUUGGGACUGAGAUACGGCCCAG
rnacentral:rRNA from 1 species